CCUUUCCAUGCACGCCGGCGUUCAGUUUUCCGUUGCUGGUCGUCCUACGCAGAUUCUCAAGAGAUAUGGGAAAGGCUCACACAGCAUGAGGGAAGGGAGAGAC
rnacentral:lncRNA from 1 species